rnacentral:rRNA from 1 species
UACGAAGGGGGCUAGCGUUGCUCGGAAUCACUGGGCGUAAAGGGCGCGUAGGCGGAUAGUUUAGUCAGAGGUAAAAGCCCAGGGCUCAACCUUGGAACUGCCUUUGAUACUGGCUAUCUUGAGUACGGGAGAGGUGUGUGGAACUCCGAGUGUAGAGGUGAAAUUCGUAGAUAUUCGGAAGAACACCAGUGGCGAAGGCGACACACUGGCCCGUUACUGACGCUGAGGCGCGAAAGCGUGGGGAGCAAACAGG